rnacentral:piRNA from 1 species
UCAGAGAGUGCAUCUGUUGGUCACAGGU